UUGUGUCUUCCACCAUGACAUCAAAAGCUGUCCCAACCCUCACGCUCGGGACUCGCCUGGGAAGGGUUUCAACAGCGGUCAUUGGAAACAGACAUCUACAAUCCUCAUUCAGACGAUGAUUUUGAAUAAUCCUGGCAAGGGGACGUGCGCAGAGAGAAUGAGAGGGAACCUAGGCCAGAGCCUUUAUUCCUGGAGUCAAACACAUGAGAAGCCCAUCCUUGGUUUGAAUCUGCCUUUCCCACCAGCUAUGCUUUCAGAACAUGGUCUCAUACACAGGGGCAUCUGCCUAAGGAACUGACCUCACAAGGAAGACCUGAUUGUCCCCUUGGAUUUGCUAACAGAGCUCACUCCCAACAAGAGGAGGGGCGCGUCUCUGGGAACAGCAGAGUAAGGCCACUGAGCCUAACGAAAGGCAACAGAGCAAAGCUGGGAUUCCGUUUCUACUGAGAACCAGCAGUCUGGAGAUGUCUGGAUUAUUCUGAGUUCUUUU